rnacentral:rRNA from 1 species
GCAUAUCAAUAAGCGGAGGAAAAGAAAAUAACAAUGAUUCCCUCAGUAACGGCGAGCGAAGAGGGAUAAGCUCAAAUUUUAAAUCUGUUGGGUUCCACUCGACAGAGUUGUAUUUUGAAGAAACGUUUUCUGCAUCCAGGAUUAGCCUAAAUCCUUUGGGAUAAGGUAUCAUGGAGGGUGAGAAUCCCGUUCAUGGUUAAUCUUAAGGAAGCUCUACGAUACGUUUUCCAAGAGUCGAGUUGUUUGGGAUUGCAGCUCAAAAUGGGAGGUGAAUUUCUCCUAAGGCUAAAUAUUGGCGAGAGACCGAUAGCGAACAAGUACCGUGAGGGAAAGAUGAAAAGAACUUUGAAAAGAGAGUUAAACAGUACGUGAAAUUGUUGAAAGGGAAACGAUUGAAGUCAGUCAUACCAACGGGAAAUCAACCUUUUGAGCUCGGUCUCGUGGGUUUUGAAGAGUUUCAAAGCCUUCGGAUUCGCGGGAUUGGGAUCUCUUGGCGUACUUUUUCGUACGGUUAGUCAACAUCGGUUUUGAAUGUCAUAAAAUGACUGGAGGAAUGUAGCUUCGAUCUCGUAUUGAAGUGUUGUAGCCUUUGGUAGAUGUGAUGUUUGAGACCGAGGAUUGCAACGGAUACCCUUCAGGGCUAUUCGUCUGAUCUCUGAUACGUUGCCUUGAUGUUGAAAGCUUGCUUAUGAUGUUAGGGUAUUACGGUCAAAAGGUUAGAACGAAUUACAUUCGUUAAGGAUGUUGACGUAAUGGCUUUAAACGAC